AACCAAUUGACAUCACUACUUAAACUUUAACCUUUCCAUCCAACACUACCAUUGAACUACAAUUUCAUUUAGUUGACUAACCUCAUUUAAUCACAAUUUUUCCAUAAAACAAAAAUUAACAUCACACUUAGCAGCUCAUUUUCAAUAACACGAAAUAAAACUAACUCGGUUUUAACACUAACCCAAAAAUAAUUGAACCUAACAUACACAUCACAACCAUCGGAUUUCAUCAUUGGACAACUAACAUUUUCCAACUAAUUGAUUUACUAACUAACUUCUCACCGAGUUCAAGUCCAUAACUAACUGAGUUUGCAGUUAACUCAGUGAGUCCAAUCUAACCAACUCUUAACCUCACUCCUUUCCUCCGUUCUAUUCGAGCCUACACCCUAUAUAUUGAACUCUUCACCCUCAUUCGAGCUACCACACACACCAAUCAUUAAUCUCAAGAGUCUCUCAGGAUCUCUCUGUAACUUCUCUCCAUUACCCCUCACUCAGAGCUCAUCUUCAGCAGCCAUUGAAGCUUCAUAUUGAAGCUUCAACGUGCUCAAGCUAGACUUCAACAAAACCUCACUAGACUCAACUCAGUCUCAAGCUCUCUCAGAUUCACACACAAUCACAUAGAAAGAAGGAGAAGGAAGAAGAAAACCAGACGAAGAGAAAGAAGAUUCAGAUCGUACCUGAUUUCUGACCUCGGCUCUGGUUUGUGUGUGAGGAAUCAGGAAGAAUGGACAUGAUAUUUGGGAUCGGGAGAAUAAGGUGAAGGAGUUUUUGUGCUUGGUUUAGAGGUUAGGGCUUCGCCGCCGCCAGAGGCAACCUCCGACACGGCGAAGGAGAAGGUCCGGUAGGAGGGAGUUUUAAAUUAUGUUGAACUUCUGACUUGUACAAGACACAUGGAAAACAUGGAAAUAUGUUGAAGUUGGGCACGUGAUUGUUUUACAUUUGAAGUCACUUAUUUUACCCUGGAGUUGGGCUUUUCCGUUCGUAGACCAUGGCCUUUUUCGUGUUACACCCUGAUUCUUACAAUGCACCCCCAACUCACCACAGUCCUGACCAUUGGGCCAACAACGCUAGGCCCAUCAGAUUGAAUCUUCUUUCUGGUUACUGUACCCCCGUUUGGGCCUACGCCUCAGCGACUCUUGGCACCCCUGGCUGCUAGUUGAACCCCAGGCCCUAUUUUCAUGUUUCUUAAUUUCUUUUCUUUUAUUAGUUUUUUUAUAUGUAUUUUUUUGGUGUCUAGAGAUAAUUUUAUGUAAUAAAAUGUAUGUAUGGAUUUAAUUGACUAAUUAGGUUUUAAUUAGAAUUAA